rnacentral:rRNA from 1 species
AUUGAACGCUGGCGGCAUGCUUUACACAUGCAAGUCGAACGGCAGCGCGGGCUUCGGCCUGGCGGCGAGUGGCGAACGGGUGAGUAAUGCAUCGGAACGUGCCCAGUAGUGGGGGAUAGCCCGGCGAAAGCCGGAUUAAUACCGCAUACGACCUGAGGGUGAAAGCGGGGGACCGAAAGGCCUCGCGCUAUUGGAGCGGCCGAGGUCGGAUUAGCUAGUUGGUGGGGUAAAGGCUUACCAAGGCGACGAUCCGUAGCUGGUCUGAGAGGACGACCAGCCACACUGGGACUGAGACACGGCCCAGACUCCUACGGGAGGCAGCAGUGGGGAAUUUUGGACAAUGGGGGCAACCCUGAUCCAGCCAUGCCGCGUGCGGGAAGAAGGCCUUCGGGUUGUAAAACGCUUUUGUUCGGGAAGAAAUCCUCUGGGCUAAUACCCCGGGGGGAUGACGGUACCGGAAGAAUAAGCACCGGCUAACUACGUG